rnacentral:rRNA from 1 species
AUACGGAGGGUGCGAGCGUUAAUCGGAAUUACUGGGCGUAAAGGGUGCGUAGGCGGCUUAUUAAGUCAGAUGUGAAAUCCCCGGGCUCAACCUGGGAACUGCAUCUGAUACUGGUAAGCUAGAGUUUUGGAGAGGGAAGUAGAAUUUCAGGUGUAGCGGUGAAAUGCAUAGAGAUCUGAAGGAAUACCAGUGGCGAAGGCGACUUCCUGGCCAAAAACUGACGCUGAGGUGCGAAAGCGUGGGUAGCAAACGGGAUUAGAAACCCUAGUAGUCC